AAAGUCGUAACAAGGUAACCGUAGGUGAACCUGCGGUUGGAUCAUUACUGAAAUGAUAAUGGCGUAUACGAUCUCUACGAUCCAACGCCAUGCACAUCCGUGCAAAACCUUUUGUGCACUGUACAUGUACCUGGUGGGUGAAGGCAGAUGAGGUGCGCCUCGAUCUUGCUUUCGGACUCUUAACAAAGUCAGCCCAUCAGACUUGUCAUUUACUUUUGUUGUCUAUUUACUUUGUCUGAAUUGAAAGCUAUUUGUAGUAAUAUACAAACAACUUUUGGCAACGGAUCUCUUGGUUCUC
rnacentral:misc_RNA from 1 species